GUGAGGAAUAUUGGGCAAUGGGCGCAAGCCUGACCCAGCAACGCCGCGUGAAGGAAGACGGUCUUCGGAUUGUAAACUUCUUUUGUCAGGGACGAAUAAUGACGGUACCUGGCGAAUAAGCCACGGCUAACUACGUGCCAGCAGCCGCGGUAAUACGUAGGUGGCAAGCGUUGUCCGGAUUUACUGGGUGUAAAGGGCGAGUAGGCGGAUUUGCAAGUCAGGUGUGAAAGCCCGGGGCUUAACCCCGGGUCUGCAUUUGAAACUGCGGAUCUUGAGUAUCGGAGAGGCAGGCGGAAUUCCCGGUGUAGCGGUGGAAUGCGUAGAUAUCGGGAGGAACACCAGUGGCGAAGGCGGCCUGCUGGACGACAACUGACGCUGAGGAGCGAAAGCGUGGGGAGCAAACAGGAUUAGAUACCCGUGUAGUCC
rnacentral:rRNA from 1 species